GAUUACCCUGUUAGCCUAUUGUCAUUAUUUACGGUUACGAGACUAUCUGAAUGCCUGAAUUAGCACACUUGAUGAUCCUGCCGCCCGGUUCUUGGCCGAUCCCCCUUUGUGGGCGAGUGCCAGCAAAGCUGAAGGUUCAUCAUCAUCAUCGAACGAAAGAGACGCCGACAAAGAACUUUAAUAAACAGGAAAAGAGCCAGCCAGGAUUCAAUGGAGCCCGAUGUCGAAGCAGAUGCUGCUGAAGAAGAAAUUGGCGAAGAGUGGGGUGAAAGUGAACCAAGCAUUUUGGUUGGCAGUCCAAAAUUAUGGGACCCCGAGUUCACCAAAGAAGCAGUGCCACGCGCAGUAGAUUGUUUCGCGUUGUAUUUUGACGAAGAAGUGAUCGAGAUGAUAUUAAAGCACACUAACCGUGCUGGUGCGCAAAGGUACACGACGAAGUGGGCUGUGCUCACAGCAGAUGAGCUAAGAGCCUAUUUUGGACUGCUUCUGCUGAUGAGCGUGUCACCACGACAUUGCUUUUACCAUUACUGGAGCCGCGAUCCACUUUUCAACUCCGAAGAAAUCGCCAAAGUGAUGUCGUUCCAAGCGUUUCCAGUACAUCAUGGACUCCCUUCGUGUGAACGACCACAGCAAAGAAAAGAAAAAAGGGGAAGAUGGUUACGAUAGGCUUGGCAAACUGCAUCCCCUCAUUAAUAAGCUGAACAGGAGCUUUCAGAAGGAGUAUUUGCCAUCAUCUCAUCAGGCCAUUGAUGAGAGCAUGAUUCCUUUCAAAGGAAGAUCUUCCAUGAAGCAGUAGCUUCCAAUGAAGCCCAUAAAGCGUGGAUAUAAAGUUUAGUGUAGGGCAGACUCAAGGACAGGCUAUUUACUACAAUUUCAGGUAUAUGAAGGAAAGAAUGCAUCACGACCAGCCAUCCAAAGCCUUGGGGAGCAUGUCGUGCUUUCCCUCUCAGAGAAUGUAAAGCCUGGAACGCAGCUGUUCUUUGAUAAUUACUUUACGUGCACCAGGCUGAUGAAAACUCUCGCCGAGAGGGGCAUCCAUGCUGCAGGUACUGUCCGCACAAACAGGAAGGAUUUGCCUGAGGAACUCAAACGAAGCAAUAAGCUAAAGAAAGGAGAGUACCUGUGGUGCGCCAAAGGACAGGUCACAGCUUAUCAAUGGUACGACACCAAAGAUGUCCACCUUUUGUCGAACUUUCAUGAUCCGACAAAAACUGUGGAAGUGUCACAUGGCUCUUCAGUGGCUGUGGUUUGCCUCAAAGCCGUGGCAGACUACAACCUGUGGAUGGGAGCGGUUGACAGGUUUGACUAAAAGCGAAAUUCCUACACUGCUGACAGACGUUCCGAGAAGUCCUGGUACCACAUCUUUUAUUUUCUCUUUGACGCCUCUGUUGUCAACGCGUUCAUACAGCACAGCGCCAAUACUGACAUAAGCUACUUGUGGUUUCGUCUUGUGCUGGGACGACAACUGACGAAUGGACAUACUUUCAGGCACUACGCCAGAACUGCGCCAUUCCGAAAAAACAAGCAAGGACAGAAGAAUGGACAGAAGAUAGUUGGAAUUUCGGAUGAAAUCAGAUUCACUGGAAAUGACCACUAUCCGAAAAAAGGAGCCUCACGGAGAAGGUGCAGGUGGUGCUCAAAAACUGGAAAUGAGGUCCACACAAAGUUCACAUGUGGCACUUGCAAGGUGCCCCUCUGUCCCACUUGUUUUGGUGCCUUUCACUCUAAGUAGGCACGUAAGUGAAAUCGGGAAGUUACCUAAAUGAGACAGUGUUGUCCCACUUUUCAACAGCCACCGAAUACGCCAAUGGGACAUAUACGUCCCACUUUUUUCUAAUAAACUAACCAUGCUAUCAACCUCAAAUCUUUUGCAUAUCAUUUCUAGCGUGUUCAAAAGCUCAAAAAAGCAAAAAUAAAUUACGUUUGUCUUGGAAAAUAUAGGCGAACUCACAAAGGGUUAAUCGCCAUGUGCUUCUGCUGCAGAGCCUCCGCGGUUUGCGGUCGCUUUGACGAACGAGCCGCGCACAAGGCCGCCUUUCUUCUUGCCACUCCAGUGCUCAUGGUACGUCCGCUGUCUAGGAGAAAAUGCACGACCACCCUUCUUGAGACACCAUUUGCCUGCGCAAGCCCCGAAGAAAACAGAAAACACGUGUUUCGAAGCGCCUUCUGAUAAACUUUGGGUGGGCAUUGUUCAUUGUCCCUCUUUAGAGUUCAAAGAGGGGAGGCACGAACCACCCGUCCCCCAUCCUCGGCUGCGGGCAACGCACUCGAAGUGUGAGAAGUCGGCGAAACUUUUUUGCUUUUUUUUUUCAGUAGCUGAGUACGCAAGCAGUUCUUCGAUCAUGUGGUUUCACUUUGAAGACGCGUGCGCAGCGUCGUUACCGGUUUAGAACUGGCCCUAGCUCGUCUUUUAUCCCUCAUAUUUCGGAGUUCGAGUGUGUGUGGCAGCAGCGAUAGUGGACGGGCCACUCAUGUUCUUACUAUCACCCGACUCAGCCUUCCACGAAUGGCACGUCGCCCGAGUUCGCUUCAAACGUGCGCCUCGGGCAACGGACAGUGAUAUGUUUCUGUCGUGGUGUUGAUAGGGGGAAUACUGAUGCUGCUUUUCUAAGAUUGCAUCGUUGUGUUUUUGGUUUGAAUAACCAAUCUUGGGUAACCGUUUUUGGUGAAAGUGCUAAAUAUAUCGUGUUCUUUUUUCUUUUUUUAGUUGUAUUCUGCACUGGAUUGUGGCUCUUCGCAUUACAGUCUUUACUACUGAUGUAUCGCGGAUUUUCGGGUGGUCUGAAGUGAACCGACGAUAUCAGUUAGGGCAUAAAAUGGAAUGUGCUUGCUCAGGACAAGGUAAACUGGCGAUCAUUUGGAGAGGCCUUCAUCCUGCAGUGGACACAAAAUACAUCUACGAAGACUCUGGGCAGGAAGUGGUACAGCCUUCUUGUGGCGACCUUCUCAUGGCACCUGAGCAGACACAUGCGUCAGGUGUUUGCUGUUACGACACACGUCCCAGCAUGUUGCUUCAGAGAUAUUUUGGUGAGCUGCAGGCACGGUGUUAUCCUGAAACUCAUAUUUGGAAUAAGAAGCUACCAGGAACCAGUGUCAAGCCUUCACAUGUGUGUGUAGUGGUGAACACGCAUGCAUGAUGCUCUGCACAGCACGAACACGAAUUACUGCAAAACAGACUUGAUUGACAAGGCCUCAUUUGUCUGCCUCAAUAUAAUCACUACUGCACUGAACCUACUACUACUGACAGCAUGCGUUGUUUGAACUUCAUUGGUGCCACACAUCAUACAAUUCUGAUGAAUGUUUUACUGUGCCUUCCACCAUACCAUUCCAUGAUUUAGACAGUCCAGCUCUGACCGGUAAGCUUUGUAAUGAAUAAUAAUAAAAAAAGAGGUACCAU
rnacentral:lncRNA from 1 species